rnacentral:rRNA from 1 species
AACGCUAGCUACAGGCUUAACACAUGCAAGUCGAGGGGCAGCACAAGGCAGCUAUGCUGAGGUGGCGACCGGCGCACGGGUGCGUAACGCGUAUCCAACCUUCCCGUUACUCUUGGAUAGCCUUCUUUAAGGGAGAUUAAUACAAGAUGGUGUUGAAAUUCCGCAUGUUAUUUCAACUAAAGAUUUAUCGGUAACGGAUGGGGAUGCGUGACAUUAGAUAGAUGGCGGGGUAACGGCCCACCAUGUCUACAAUGUCUAGGGGUUCUGAGAGGAAGGUCCCCCACACUGGAACUGAGACACGGUCCAGACUCCUACGGGAGGCAGCAGUGAGGAAUAUUGGUCAAUGGCCGGAUUUUUGAACCAGCCAAGUAGCGUGAAGGAUGAUUGUUCUAUGAAAAGUAAACUUCUUUUUUUUGGGAAUAAAACCUCCCACGUGUGGGAGCUUGUAUGUACCGUAUGAAUAAGCAUCGGCUAUUUCCGUGCCAGCAGCCGCGGUAAUACGGAGGAUGCGAGCGUUAUCCGGAUUUAUUGGGUUUAAAGGGAGCGUAGACGGGAGAUUAAGUCAGCUGUGAAAGUUUGAGGCCCAACCUUAAAAUUGCAGUUGAUACUGGUUUCCUUGAGUGCGGUUGAGGUGUAUGGA